rnacentral:rRNA from 1 species
GACGAACGCUGGCGGCGUGCUUAACACAUGCAAGUCGAACGGAAAGGCCCUGCUUUUGUGGGGUGCUCGAGUGGCGAACGGGUGAGUAACACGUGAGUAACCUGCCCUUGACUUUGGGAUAACUUCAGGAAACUGGGGCUAAUACCGGAUAGGAGCUCCUGCUACAUGGUGGGGGUUGGAAAGUUUCGGCGGUUGGGGAUGGACUCGCGGCUUAUCAGCUUGUUGGUGGGGUAGUGGCUUACCAAGGCUUUGACGGGUAGCCGGCCUGAGAGGGUGACCGGCCACAUUGGGACUGAGAUACGGCCCAGACUCCUACGGGAGGCAGCAGUGGGGAAUAUUGCACGAUGGGCGGAAGCCUGAUGCAGCAACGCCGCGUGCGGGAUGACGGCCUUCGGGUUGUAAACCGCUUUCGCCUGUGACGAAGCGUGAGUGACGGUAAUGGGUAAAGAAGCACCGGCUAACUACGUG